rnacentral:rRNA from 1 species
AUCCUACGGGGCGCAGCAGUGGGGAAUAUUGCACAAUGGGGGAAACCCUGAUGCAGCGACGCCGCGUGAAGGAAGAAGUAUUUCGGUAUGUAAACUUCUAUCAGCAGGGAAGAAAAUGACGGUACCUGACUAAGAAGCCCCGGCUAACUACGUGCCAGCAGCCGCGGUAAUACGUAGGGAGCGAGCGUUAUCCGGAAUUAUUGGGUGUAAAGGGCGCGUAGACGGGAAAACAAGUUAGUUGUGAAAUCCCUCGGCUUAACUGAGGAGCUGCAACUAAAACUAUUUUUCUUGAGUGCAGGAGAGGU